rnacentral:rRNA from 1 species
CGUAGUGGCGCACGGGUGCGUAACGCGUGGGAAUCUGCCCUUGGGUUCGGGAUAACAGUUGGAACGAUUGCUAAUACCGGAUGAUGACUUCGGUCCAAAGAUUUAUCGCCCAGGGAUGAGCCCGCGUAGGAUUAGCUAGUUGGUGAGGUAAAGGCUCACCAAGGCGACGAUCCUUAGCUGGUCUGAGAGGAUGAUCAGCCACACUGGGACUGAGACACGGCCCAG